ACUGAAGACAAGGCCCCAGGCCCUACGGGGCGCAGCAGUCGCGAAACUUUUGCAAUACACGAAAGUGUGACAGGGCUAUCCCGAGUUCCAUCCGCUGAGGAAGGCUUUUACCCAGUCUAGAACGCUGGGGGAUAAGGAGAGGGCAAGUCUGGUUCAGCCGCCGCGGUAAUACCAGUCUCCGAGUGGUGUGGAUGUUUAUUGGGCCUAAAGCAUCCGUAGCUGGCUAAGUUAGUCCUUUGUUAAAUCCACCGAAUUAAUCGUUGGAUUGCGGGGGAUACUGCUUGGCUAGGGGACGAGAGAGGCAGACGGUAUUUCCGGGGUAGGGGUGAAAUCCUAUAAUCCCGGGAAGACCACCAGUGGCGAAGGCUGUCUGCUAGAACGCGC
rnacentral:rRNA from 1 species